rnacentral:lncRNA from 1 species
CCCGGUAAAACCUGUCAAGGUCUGGUUCGGCUUUCCAGCCUUCCCCCAGAUACAGUCUGGAGCUGUGACCCACAGCUGCCGCGCCUUUCACCUGAAGAGCACAGGCGAGAAGCAGCAGCUAAAAAAAAGUUAUUUCUCCCUUCCAUCCUCCUGCCCAUAAACAUCGCUUUUAUUUGCAGCCCUUGGUCUCCAAAGAUGUCCCGAGGCUUUCAAAGUUCAAACGCUAAAGUUAAAGUUCUUUUCAGACAUAACUAUGGGCAAAUUCUGACAUGUACCACAAACCGUGGCUACCAUGCUUUUGUUAAAACAAUUUAUAUUCAAUUGGGGGUGGGGGGAGAAAGAGGCAAUGCUCUCAAAUUUCCACAGACGCUGGAGCUUCUCAAAUUUUAUAGUUCAGAAUUCUUCCCUAUAGAAGCAAGCAUCGGCAGCAGCAAAGUUGGAAAGUGGAAUUUCCUGAGAAUGUGGGUGCUUAAUGAUAAACAUAAGCGACUUGCUGCACCGGGGUCAUCUCAGGAACAAACUGCUCUCUGUCAGGAAAUACGUGGUUGCCAGCGUGCCUCCCUCCAGGUGUGCAAAAACCAGCACCGCAAGCCAUCACGCACACUGCUUCACACAGCUCUGAUGCUUGGAGAGAGAGGUACGGUGCCUGAUGCAGGGGAGGGCCUCAGUAGAUCUCUGCUAACCAAACGGUUCUAGUUUCUACUUACGCUGUUCACUCUGGGGCAUUAAUGAGCUUAGUCACUGAUGAGGCAAAAAAAAAUCAACAAGACAGGAGCUGGGGUGUGGACAUUUUCACUCCUUAGCAAUUACUGAACACUGUCCUACUCAUCUACCAGACGCCACACUAUUUAUUGUGAUCAUGCCCUCCCCUAGUUAAAAGCUUUUCCUGGCUUCCCAAAGCUUAUUCUCUAUUUAUCCCCACUUCCCUCCCAGCCCAGUACAGACAUGCACAGGCCGACCUCCACUCCGAAGCUUACCAUUUUACAAGACGGCCUUUACAUGAACCUCUGCUGUCGGAUUUUUCUAUCCCUUGCUAUCUUCACAUAGUCCACUUUCCAAAGUCAGCUCCAAGGCCCUUUUCCAGGAGGCCUUCAGAAUCUUGUGUUGAUUUUAAAAUCCAUAUGUUCGAUCAUUCGGCAAAUAUUUCAGAGUGUAUUAUGUCCCUACCUUCCGAGUUUGAAAUUCUAGUGGGGGAAUAGGUAUGAGGGCGUGCUAGAAAGGAAGUAUGCAGGGGUCUGCACCCGGUGAUAACAGGGGGCUAGAGCUCCAAGGUACCAGGGGGCUCAGGAAGGGGUUUCUUUGAGGAGGUGGCAUUUGAAAACCAUCAGUAACCAGCUCUGCCAAGAAUCAGGUAGAAGCAUGCCUUCCAGGUCACAUAAGAAGUACCAAGGCCCCCAGAGGCAGAGAAGAGCCCGGUGGGAUCCAGGUAGGGAGAGAAAACGCUGGUGGGACUGAAGCACUGGAGGAGGGGUAGGGUGCACACGGAAGGAGGAACAACAGGGUGAGGGAGGUGGGUAGGCAACCAGAUGGCCAGGUGGUCAACAGACCAGCCCUGGCAGGAAGAUGGUAACAUAUGGUUUUGAUAUUUCACCUAUCUAUAUUUUACCAAGUACAUACAAGAGUAGCUACAGAGAUUUGUAAGAUUCUCCAGGUAAACUCAACGUUCACUUGUAAGAAAUCAGAAAUAUCGGGACGCCUGGGUGGCUCAGUUGGUUAAGCAGCUGCCUUCGGCUCAGGUCAUGAUCCCAGCGUCCUGGGAUCGAGUCCCACAUCGGGCUCCUUGCUCAGCAGGGAGCCUGCUUCUCCCUCUGCCUGCCAUACUGUCUGCCUGUGCUUCCUCUCUCCCCCUCUCUCUCUCUGUGACAAAUAAAUAAAAUCUUUAAAAAAAAAAAAAGAAAUCAGAAAUAUCAUCAGAGAUGAAGGAUGGGGUUGCUGAUAAUGAGACCCAGAACAAUACAGGGAUGAGGGUAGUAAGUCCAAGUACACAAUGUAAACAGAUCAUUCUGGGGGAGUAACUUGGGGGAAAUUAUCACUUCAUUCAGUAGAAUACUUUCAAGGGAUCAAUACUAAAAUGCCCACUUCUGAGGAAAAUAAAAACAGGGCAUUUUAGAACUGGAAGUAUUUUAUUAGACUUUGUGGCUAACCGGAAUCCCUUUUGGUUAAUAUUCAAAUACCUUUUCUCUUCUAGUAAUUCAAUAGAUUUACUACCAUAUUAGCUCCUUAGCGAUAAUAUCAAUUUCUCACUUAUUCACACUACUGACUUCCUCUCCCUAUUUCUUAUCUCUGCAUCUCUCUCAGUGGUUUCUUACGGUUAUGUAUUAUACAGAAAAGCUCAAAAAAUGGCCUAGCAACAUGCAUGAAGAUCAUAUU